GGUUUAAACAACAACGUACUAGAUAACGAACUAUACGUGGCGUUACGAAGCUUUUGGGAAAGCCACUCCAGAGUAGCUUACGGCAAUACAUACAAGCUGUACAAUACACAUAAAUAUAUAUUUUACACGUAGGUGACGAAGAGGAAGUAACGAAUAUUAUUAACCCAGGCGGGAUAAAUUAACUUUGCUUAGUUCCCACAAGGUCACGACGUUGUCGGGAGCGAUGCAUAUAGCUGCAAGUGAGCUAUACUGCGGCUCUACGGAAUCUGCUCAGUUACCCAGGGCUAUAUCGCCGAAAGGUCCGCGGAGGGCGGGGGUUUAUUCCCGAAGGAGCAGCUAGGAGGAGCCCCACCGAGAAAGAGAGAGCCUCUGUGUCCGGACCGCAGGUCCUUGUCCUGACUUGAGGAACGAAGGAUUCAAGGGCAGGCGUGAUGUAGAAACAAAAGGGUGUUUAUUGAACUAAAUGGGCAGGGACUGAAAACAAACAGGACCGCGGUGGAUCACAAACAGACUGACGACCAGGAAGGGCACAGGCAACAGGAACCUUCAGCGUCAAUGACCAGACUGGGGAUGACAAGCCAAAUAGAGACUUAUAUACAAAGACUAACGAGGAGUAACAAGCAACAGGUGUGGCUCAUCAGGCUCACACUAGGGAGGAGACAGGAGGGUCGGGUAGACAUGGCAGCCUGGAAACAGCGGGGAGACCAGUCACCCUCCUGCACCCCUUUAUGAGCACCGAAGAGCUUCUGUAAUUCUCUCCGUCUCCUUAGCUCCGAUCAAAAGAUCUCCUCUAAUUUCAGGUGAGACGUUCCGAUGCGCUGUCAGCUCCAAACGGCUCUAAGUAAUGAAUGAUAAGAUAGAGAACGUAAGCAGUAGGAAAAGAAGCUGCAGGUGCACUUUACUUUGGCAAAUUUCUAACAGACGCCCAGCACUACGCGGGUGACGACUCUCACUCAGCCUUUCCUGGUUAUCUGGGAGGUUCUCUCUUUCCCCUGCAGAGAGGAAGCUUGU